UACGUAGGGUCCGAGCGUUGUCCGGAAUUAUUGGGCGUAAAGAGCUCGUAGGCGGUCUGUCGCGUCGGCUGUGAAAACCCGGAGCUCAACUCCGGGCCUGCAGUCGAUACGGGCAAACUGGAGUGUUGCAGGGGAGACUGGAAUUCCUGGUGUAGCGGUGAAAUGCGUAGAGAUCGGGAGGAACACCGGUGGCGAAGGCGGGUCAUCG
rnacentral:rRNA from 1 species